rnacentral:rRNA from 1 species
UCCAGACUCCUACGGGAGGCAGCAGUGGGGGAUAUUGCACAAUGGGGGGAACCCUGAUGCAGCGACGCCGCGUGGGUGAAGAAGCGCCUCGGCGCGUAAAGCCCUGUCAGCAGGGAAGAAAAUGACGGUACCCGAAGAAGAAGCCCCGGCUAACUACGUGCCAGCAGCCGCGGUAAUACGUAGGGGGCAAGCGUUAUCCGGAUUUACUGGGUGUAAAGGGAGCGUAGGCGGCGCGUUAAGUCUGAUGUGAAAACCCGAGGCUCAACCACGGGAGUGCAUUGGAAACUGGCGGGCUGGAGUGCCGGAGAGGUAAGCGGAAUUCCUAGUGUAGCGGUGAAAUGCGUAGAUAUUAGGAGGAACACCAGUGGCGAAGGCGGCCUGCUGGACAUUAACUGACGCUGAGGCGCGAAAGCGUGGGGAGCAAACAGGAUUAGAUCCCCUAGUA